CGUACACUCCUACGGGAGGCAGCAGUGGGGAAUUUUGGACAAUGGGCGAAAGCCUGAUCCAGCAAUGCCGCGUGCAGGAUGAAGGCCUUCGGGUUGUAAACUGCUUUUGUACGGAACGAAAAAGCUCCUUCUAAUACAGGGGGCCCAUGACGGUACCGUAAGAAUAAGCACCGGCUUACUACGUGCCAGCAGCCGCGGUAAUACGUAGGGUGCGAGCGUUAAUCGGAAUUACUGGGCGUAAAGCGUGCGCAGGCGGUUAUGUAAGACAGAUGUGAAAUCCCCGGGCUCAACCUGGGAACUGCAUUUGUGACUGCAUGGCUAGAGUACGGUAGAGGGGGAUGGAAUUCCGCGUGUAGCAGUGAAAUGCGUAGAUAUGCGGAGGAACACCGAUGGCGAAGGCAAUCCCCUGGACCUGUACUGACGCUCAUGCACGAAAGCGUGGGGAGCAAACAGGAUUAGAAACCUAGUAGUCCC
rnacentral:rRNA from 1 species